UGCCAGCAGCCGCGGUAAUACGGAGGGGGUUAGCGUUGUUCGGGAAUUACUGGGCGUAAAGCGCACGUAGGCGGAUUGGAAAGUUGGGGGUGAAAUCCCGGGGCUCAACCCCGGAACUGCCUCCAAAACUAUCAGUCUAGAGUUCGAGAGAGGUGAGUGGAACUCCGAGUGUAGAGGUGAAAUUCGUAGAUAUUCGGAGGAACACCAGUGGCGAAGGCGGCUCACUGGCUCGAUACUGACGCUGAGGUGCGAAAGGGUGGGGAGCCAACCGGAUUAGAUA
rnacentral:rRNA from 1 species